GUCACCACACAGCUCAGGAGGCCUGAAGGUUCAGGGGGCAUUCUCUGAUCCUACGACCGAGCCAGCUUCCUUUUUUACACCCAGGAACCCAAGAGCAGAUGUCAACGAGCUAGCGACCUCUAGACUACAAAGGUCAACCCUGCAGGUGUCUGCUCUAAGCGCCUGGCCAGCAGGGUUCGCUGGAGAGGAGAAACAGUUCCUGCCGGUUUUGCCUCCCUAACCCACGGGAGCGCCAGAGCCAAUGCGAUGCUCCCUUUGGAAUCCCCUGCGAAGACCAGUGACUUCACACAGCCAGGACGUGAACCUGCGUUGUAUAACACCCUGCACACCAUGUGGCUGCACCUUUACCAGACAGAGCCUGUGUGUCUAUCCAAGCCAUGGCCUCAUACAGGGGCUCCCAGCUGACUCCAGACUGAACCGACUUUGGAUCAGUACCAACCUGAAGUGCAAUGGGAGCGGGUCCCCACACAGCACAGACGUUCUCAGGGCAUGUGGCCUAAAGCCAGAAUCGCUUUUUCGCCGAGCAAUCCAAAGCAGAGGUGGGCGGGCUACCGAUCCCGGAGAACAGAGACCAGCCCUGCCUCUUAUCCACUCUAAAUGUGCUCAGCGUCUGGC